AUUGAACGCUGGCGGCAUGCCUUACACAUGCAAGUCGAACGGUAACAGGUCUUCGGAUGCUGACGAGUGGCGCACGGGUGAGUAAUACAUCGGAACGUGCCCAGACGUGGGGGAUAACGAGGCGAAAGCUUUGCUAAUACCGCAUACGAUCUAAGGAUGAAAGCAGGGGACCGCAAGGCCUUGCGCGUUUGGAGCGGCCGAUGGCAGAUUAGGUAGUUGGUGGGAUAAAAGCUUACCAAGCCGACGAUCUGUAGCUGGUCUGAGAGGACGACCAGCCACACUGGGACUGAGACACGGCCCAGACUCCUACGGGAGGCAGCAGUGGGGAAUUUUGGACAAUGGGCGAAAGCCUGAUCCAGCAAUGCCGCGUGCAGGAUGAAGGCCUUCGGGUUGUAAACUGCUUUUGCACGGAACGAAAAGGCUCUGGCUAAUACCUGGGGCACAUGACGGUACCGUAAGAAUAAGCACCGGCUAACUACGUG
rnacentral:rRNA from 1 species